GUGAACCGGGAUGAGCUCAAAUUUAAAAUCUGGCGUCUUUCAGGCGUCCGAGUUGUAAUCUAUAGAGGCGUUUUCCGCGCCGGACCGCGUCCAAGUCUCUUGGAAUAGAGUAUCAAAGAGGGUGACAAUCCCGUACUUGACGCGACAACCGGUGCUCUGUGAUACGUUCUCAAUGAGUCGAGUUGUUUGGGAAUGCAGCUCUAAAUGGGUGGUAAAUUCCAUCUAAGGCUAAAUAUUGGCGAGAGACCGAUAGCGAACAAGUACCGUGAGGGAAAGAUGAAAAGCACUUUGGAAAGAGAGUUAAACAGCACGUGAAAUUGUUAAAAGGGAAACGAUUGAAGUCAGUCGUGUGAAAGGUAUUCAGCCGUCUCUGGCGGUGUAUUUGCCUUUCACGGGUCAACAUCAGUUUGAUCCGGUAGAAAAAGGCAGGAGGAAGGUGGCACCCUCGGGUGUGUUAUAGCCUCUUGUCAUAUGUGCCGGACCAGACUGAGGAACGCAGCUUGCCGCAAGGCCGGGGUUCGCCCACGUACAAGCUUAGGAU
rnacentral:rRNA from 1 species